rnacentral:rRNA from 1 species
CAGCCGUAAACUAAUGCGCGUUAGGUGUAUCGGUGACCACGAGUUACCGAGGUGCCGAAGGGAAACCGUGAAACGUGCCGCCUGGGAAGUACGGUCGCAAGGCUGAAACUUAAAGGAAUUGGCGGGGGGAGCACCACAACGGGUGGAGCCUGCGGUUUAAUUGGACUCAACGCCGGGAAGCUCACCGGAUAAGACAGCGGAAUGAUUGCCGGGCUGAAGACUCUGCAUGACUAGCUGAGAGGAGGUGCAUGGCGUAGACGUCU